CACGUAGGGUGCGAGCGUUGUUCGGAAUCACUGGGCGUAAAGCGCACGUAGGCGGAUUCUUAAGUCAGGGGUGAAAUCCCGAGGCUCAACCUCGGAACUGCCUUUGAUACUGGGAAUCUUGAGUAUGGUAGAGGUUGGUGGAACAGCAAGUGUAGAGGUGAAAUUCGUAGAUAUUCGGAAGAACACCAGUGGCGAAGGCGGCUCACUGGCCCGGUACUGACGCUGAGGUGCGAAAGCGUGGGGAGCAAACAGG
rnacentral:rRNA from 1 species